ACAACUCCAAGGAUACCAGGCAGGUUAAGAUCAGAGUGUUGAGGGGACUUCGCUGGUGGUCCUGUGCAGGGUGUGU
rnacentral:miRNA from 1 species